rnacentral:rRNA from 1 species
CGAAGCCGGUGGAGUAACCUUUUAGGAGCUAGCCGUCGAAGGUGGGACAAAUGAUUGGGGUGAAGUCGUAACAAGGUAGCCGUAUCGGAAGGUGCGGCUGGAUCACCUCCUUUCUAAGGAUAUAUUCGGAAC